UACAGAGGUGGCAAGCGUUUGUUCGGAAUUACUGGGCGUAAAGGGCGCGUAGGCGGCCUUCUAAGUCAGACGUGAAAUCCCCCCGGCUUAACCUGGGAACUGCGUCUGAUACUGGAGGGCUUGAGUGCGGGAGAGGGAUGUGGAAUUCCAGGUGUAGCGGUGAAAUGCGUAGAUAUCUGGAGGAACACCGGUGGCGAAGGCGGUUCUCUGGGCAUUACCUGACGCUGAGGAGCGAAAGUGUGGGGAGCGAACAGG
rnacentral:rRNA from 1 species